rnacentral:rRNA from 1 species
GAUGAACGCUGACAGAAUGCUUAACACAUGCAAGUCUUUGGCGAAGCUGUGCUUGCACAGCCUAGCCAAGGCGGACGGGUGAGUAACGCGUAAGGAACUUGCCCUGCAGUCAGGGAUAACAGACGGAAACGACUGAUAAGACCUGGUAAAGUCAGGCGGACUCAUGUCCAGCCUGAUGAAAAGAGAUGCUGCAGGAGAGCCUUGCGUCCUAUUAGCUUGUUGGUGGGGUAACGGCCCACCAAGGCGAUGAUAGGUAGCCGGCCUGAGAGGGUGGACGGCCACAAGGGGACUGAGAUACGGCCCUUACUCCUACGGGAGGCAGCAGUGGGGAAUAUUGGACAAUGGGGCCAACCCUGAUCCAGCAAUUCUGUGUGCACGAUGAAGGUUUUCGGAUUGUAAAGUGCUUUCAGCAGGGAAGAAAAAAAUGACGGUACCUGCAGAAGAAGCGACGGCUAAAUACGUG